UGCCGCCUACGGGGCGCGGCAGUGAGGAAUAUUGGUCAAUGGUCGGGAGACUGAACCAGCCAAGCCGCGUGAGGGAUGAAGGGACAGAGUAUCGUAAACCUCUUUUGUCAGGGAACAAAGGCGGGGACGCGUCCCCGGAUGAGUGUACCUGAAGAAAAAGCAUCGGCUAACUCCGUGCCAGCAGCCGCGGGAAUACGGAGGAUGCGAGCGUUAUCCGGAUUUAUUGGGUUUAAAGGGUGCGCAGGCGGUCUGUUAAGUCAGCGGUCAAAGCCCGGGGCUCAACCCCGGCCCGCCGUUGAAACUGG
rnacentral:rRNA from 1 species